rnacentral:sRNA from 12 species
CCUAUGGAGAGUAGAAGAACUUGUGAGUAGUAUUUGAAUUUAGUCCAUACGAAAGCGUACUUGAUGAAGUAGGAA